UACGUAGGAGGCAAGCGUUGUCCGGAGUUACUGGGCGUAAAGCGCACGCAGGCGGUCCCAUUAGUCUGUAGGGACAGGGCACGGCUCAACCGUGUCAGGCUUAUGGAAACUGUGGGACUUGAGGGCUUCAGAGGGAUGGGGAAUUCCGGGUGGAGUGGUGAAAUGCGUAGAGAUCCGGAAGAACACCAAAGGCGAAGGCACCAUCCUGGGGAGUCACUGACGCUCGGGUGCGAAAGCUAGGGGAGCGAACGGG
rnacentral:rRNA from 1 species